GAUGAACGCUGGCGGCGUGCCUAAUACAUGCAAGUCGAGCGAACAGACGAGGAGCUUGCUUCUCUGACGUUAGCGGCGGACGGGUGAGUAACACGUGGAUAACCUACCUAUAAGACUGGGAUAACUUCGGGAAACCGGAGCUAAUACCGGAUAAUAUAUUGAACCGCAUGGUUCAAUAGUGAAAGACGGUUUUGCUGUCACUUAUAGAUGUAUCCGCGCCGCAUUAGCUAGUUGGUAAGGUAACGGCUUACCAAGGCAACGAUGCGUAGCCGACCUGAGAGGGUGAUCAGCCACACUGGAACUGAGACACGGUCCAGACUCCUACGGGAGGCAGCAGUAGGGAAUCUUGCGCAAUGGGCGAAAGCCUGACGGAGCAACGCCGCGUGAGUGAUGAAGGUCUUCGGAUCGUAAAACUCUGUUAUUAGGGAAGAACAAAUGUGUAAGUAACUAUGCACGUCUUGACGGUACCUAAUCAGAAAGCCACGGCUAACUACGUG
rnacentral:rRNA from 1 species